UCCAAUAAUAAAUGCACCACUGUUUCAUUUUCUUCCAGUUACUUUAAAGCACUUAUUUUUUAUUCUAUAUAAUAUAAUAUAAUAUAAUAUAAUAUAAUAUAAUAUAAUAUAAUAUAAUAUAAUAAGAUAAGAUAAGAUAAGAUAACCUUUAUUAGUCCCACACGUGGGAAAUUUGUUUUGUCACAGCAGGAAGUGGACAGUGCAAAAGUUAUGAAGCAAAAAUUAGAAUAAAAUAAAAUAAGAAUAAAUACAGUACACAACUGUACAGAAUAGAAUAAAAUAAAAUACUAUAUACAGUAGAAUAAAAUAGAAUAAAAUAUACAAUGAGAUAAAAAUAGAGUACAAAUGCUAUAUACAACUGAGUAAAAAUACAACGAUGCCAGAAGAGAUUAUUGCACAUUAGUGUUAUUGCACAUUUGUGGAUGUGUGUGUUUGAUCAGUUAAAGUCUAUAUUGUGGAGUCUGACAGCAGUGGGGAGGAUAUGCCUUGCAGCUGGAGCUUCUGCUCUCAUUUGAUUCUAACUACACUACCCAUGAUGCCCUGCCCGUCCCGUUGCCAGGAUACGUGAGAAAUGGGACACAGCUGAGAUAGGCCCUAAUUUUGAAAAAUAAUCCCACGUGGUCUCGUUUUUCAGAUGAGUCACGUGACCGUUCAGCAACGAAUCACAGCAGAGCCCGGGAAAGGGGGCGGAGCAAGGUGUGUGUGUGUGUGUAGUAGAUGAGGCGAGCAUAGAGAGCUGCUUUUCAUAAAACGGGACUAAGUAGUAAACCUACAGGAACAUAUAGCACUACCAACGUUUGGAUCGAUAUCUGCAUCGAUCUGCACACCCUUGUCUCCUGGAUCCUAGCUGAGAUCAGCGUGAACCACGUGGGUCUCUCCCUGAUCUGUUUCCUGUGUUUGGAAAGACUUCCAGCUUCAUCACGGAGUUUCUCUCGGUUUGUGGGCUCAUUUAAAGGUAAGCACCGAGUUAACUUUAAUCUGGUGGAGCAGCAGAGGAACAAUUUCAGCCAUUUGGACUCAGCUCAGCCACUACAGAGGAAACAAUGACUUCAACACAAAAGGUAAGAAAAAUAUCACAGUUACAUUGUUAUUGAAAUUGUGUGCACAGCUAGUUGGUUUUUAAAAACCUAUUAACAGCAGCUUUAUCUUUUCCAUCCUGGGCUCCUCCAUACAUACACAAUUUACAUUCACAACCAAAAACCACAGAAUUACAAGAAAAUACAAAGAUCAUAUUUUCUCUACACACAU
rnacentral:lncRNA from 1 species